rnacentral:rRNA from 1 species
AACGAACGCUGGCGGCAGGCUUAACACAUGCAAGUCGAACGCACCUUUCGGGGUGAGUGGCAGACGGGUGAGUAACGCGUGGGAAUCUACCCUUCUCUACGGGAUAGCUCCGGGAAACUGGAAUUAAUACCGUAUACUUCCUGAUGGAGAAAGAUUGAUCGGGUAAGGAUGAGGCCGCGUUGGAUUAGCUAGUUGGUGGGUUAAAGGCCUACCAAGGCGACGAUCCAUAGCUGGUCUAAGAGGAUGAUCAGCCACAUUGGGACUGAGACACGGCCCAAACUCCUACGGGAGGCAGCAGUGGGGAAUAUUGGACAAUGGGCGCGAGCCUGAUCCAGCCAUGCCGCGUGAGUGAUGAAGGCCCUAGGGUUGUAAAGCUCUUUCAGUGGGGACGAUAAUGACGGUACCCACAGAAGAAGCCCCGGCUAACUUCGUG